CAGAGGUCCCAAGCGUUACUGAGAAUCACUGGGUUUAAAGGGUGCGUAGGUGGUCCGUUAAGUCAGUUGUGAAAUCCCCGGGCUCAACCCGGGAACUGCUUCUGAUACUGGCGGACUUGAGGCCAGUAGAGGUCACUGGAACUGACGGUGGAGCGGUGAAAUGCGUAGAUAUCGUCAGGAACGCCGGUGGUGAAGACGGGUGACUGGGCUGGUUCUGACACUGAGGCACGAAAGCGUGGGGAGCGAACGGGAUUAGAUACCCCGGUAGUCCACGCCCUAAACGAUGCAGACUAGAUUGCAGCGGGUUACACCCCGUUGCGGUCGGAGCGAAAUUGUUAAGUCUGCCACCUGGGAAGUACGGUCGCAAGGCUA
rnacentral:rRNA from 1 species